GUGCCAGCCGCCGCGGUAAGACGUAGGGGGCGAGCGUUGUCCGGAUUUACUGGGCGUAAAGAGCGCGUAGGCGGUCUGUUAAGUCAGAAGUGAAAUCUCCAGGGCUCAACCCGGAAACUGCUUUUGAUACUGAUAGACUUGAGUGUCGGAGAGGUAACUGGAAUUCCUGGUGUAGCGGUGACAUGCAUUGAUAUCAGGAGGAACACCCAUGGCGAAGGCAGGUUACUGGCCGACAACUGACGCUGAGGCGCGAAAGCGUGGGUAGCAAACAGAAUUAGAUACCCGGGUAGUCC
rnacentral:rRNA from 1 species